AAAAAUAAAAUAUUUUUUUCUGCCCCCCCCAAUUAUUUCUUCUGGGGGGAUGAUAUGAGAAAAAGAAUAUGUAUGUGUGUGUGUGUGGUGUGUGUGUUAUAUCUAUUCGUGUGUGUGUGUAUGUAUGACUGGGUUACUUUGCUGUGCAGCAGAAAUUGGCACAACAUUGUAAAUCAACUAUACUUUAAUAAAAACAAUACAAAAUUUUUUUCUUCUGAUUUUAAAAGAAAUCAAGACCCUUUUGUGGACUCGGUCAAGGACCAGGGCUCUGGACCUCUCGUUCCUGACGCAUUCACCAGCCCUGGAGAAGGUGGCCUUCCCUGAAGCCCAUUUCCCCAAGAUGAGAAGACUGAGACCCAGAGGUGGUAGCAGAGGCAAGAUUCGAACCCUGGCUGUCAACCCCUCUGCCUGUGUGUGCUUUGGGCGCCACCGCCACGCACAUCCGAAAUCACAGCUCCACCCGGAUUCCUCUCCCCUGAUAGUGCCUGAGUUUGCAUCCUCAGCUGGAGAAAAGUGAUUUAAAACAGGAACACCCACAGUGUCCCUGCCUCUGCCUAAGUUCUGAAAGCCAGGGCAGCCUCGAGACUCUCAACUUGGCUGGUGUUUUUCCCCAGCCCCCGGGGCUCAUAGAGAGGGGUUUGGCCUGUCUUAGGCUCCAAACCACCUGCUCAGCCCGGCCGUCCAGCCGGCCUGCGAGCAAGUGAGGGAGAGAGGGGACCCUCCGCUGUCUUUAUAUACCGGGGUUAUUUUUAACCCGGCCUUCCAGAACAUUACGGAGCUUCCUCUCUCUGACUCGCAGGAAGCCCUACUUGGCCGUGUUUCCUGCUAACACGCGGCCCCGAGAUUGCUGAGAACAACAGGCCCAAGACUGCUCGGCUCUGGGAAAAAAACCUGGCCCCUUUUCAAAACCCUGACAAAACCCUCUCAGAGCCUUGCACUCCCGCCAGCGGGAGCUCAGCCCCCACAGCGCUGACAAAUUGGCGGUGAAGGUGCCCAGGGCUCCCAGGCAGCGCUCCCCUUCCCUGCCCUACCGCCCCAUCACCUUCCCAAGGCAGUGGGGCGGUGGCAGGGGGUGGGGGGGGAGGGUGUGCUCUCCCCAACCCCCAACUGGAUUGUUUGAUUUUUUUAAUACUUCUGUUUUUUAUUUUUAUCCAUGUAUUUUUAUUGAGAUGCAAUUCACAUAACAUAAAAUGAGUCAUUUUAAAG
ensembl:lncRNA